UCCCUAUGGGGUGCAGCAGGCGCGAAACCUCCACAAUGCGCGAAAGCGUGAUGGGGUUAGCCCGAGUGCUAUCCGAAAAGGAUGGCUUUUCCUUGGUGUAAAAACCCAUGGGAAUAAAGGGGGGGCAAGACUGGUGUCAGCCGCCGCGGUAAUACCAGCUCCCUGAGUGGUAAGGACGAUUAUUUGGCUUAAAGCGUCCGUAGCCGGCUUAGUGAGUCUUUUGUUAAAUCCAAUGAUUUAAUCAUUGAACUGCAAGAGAUACUGCUAUGCUAGAGGACGGGAGAGGUCGACGGUAGUCCAGGGGUAGGGGUGAAAUCCUAUAAUCCUUGGAGGACCACCAGUGGCGAAGGCGGUCGACUAGAACGUGCCUGACGGUGAGGGACGAAAGCUGGGGGAGCGAACCGGAUUAGAUACCCGGGUAGUCCCAGCUGUAAACGAUGCGGGCUAGGUGUAGGGGCAGCUACGAGCUGCUCCUGUGCCGCAGAGAAAUUGUUAAGCCCGCCGUCUGGGGAGUACGAUCGCAAGAUUGAAACUUAAAGGAAUUGGCGGGGGAGCACCACAAGGGGUGAAGGCUGCGGUUUAAUUGGAUUCAACGCCGGAA
rnacentral:rRNA from 1 species